AGAACAAAUUAGACAUGCCUGUGGCACAUGACAUUUUAUAAUCUGUUAUUGGUGUUGCAUAUUUUCUUUGUGAAUAUUGUAAUGUUUUUAUGAUUUAAUUGAAUUUCCAUACCUUUUAAAAGAUCCAGGCUAUCUGACCAACCAAGUCGAUGCUUUACAUUGCAAAUUUAGUAUAGAAUAAUUUUUGGUUCUUUAAUUAUUUUUUAGGUUUCUUUCUGUGGUCCAACCCACCACCCUCAUAUUUCCAGAAGAAGAAACAUGAAAUGAAAAAGGAAAAAAGCCCUUACAACAUCAUAGGAGUUUCUCUACGAGCACAUCAUGCUGGCAUCCUAAAGAAGCCAGACAGCAGAGUUAACGGAUCAGUUAAGAAUGGAUUCCAUGAAGAAGAAAAGAGAGAAAAAGAGAAGAGAAGAAGUCACUGCCAGGAUGAUUCACGUUGGGAAUAAGAGGCCAAACCCUGACUACCAGGUAAGCAGGAAACAGCAUGGAAUGCCAGGGAGGGAGGAAGGGGGUCUCCUGUAGGCAGGAAGGAAAGCUUCAUAAAGAAAUUGCAUCUUGUUUACAAUACUUCCAGGGACAGGUUUGCCUUUUCUUUCCAUGUAGCUAUGUUUGAUGACCCGCACCUCUGUCCUACCUUAACCUAUCCUAUUGAUUUGAAAUAAGAGAUUUUUUUGAAAAGACAGCUUUGUUGAAAUAGAAUGUGCAUAUAGCAAACUGCAGAUGUUUAAAGUAUGCAAGUAAAUAAGUUAGAUACCUGUGAGAUGAUCACCACCAUCAAGAUAACGAACAUAUCUGUCACCUGCAAAAGUUCCUUUGGCCUUUGUGUCAAUCCUUUCUUCUGCCCCUUCCCAUCCUCUCCCCCUUGGCAACUACUAAUUUGGUUGCUGUCACUAUAGGUUAAUUUGUAUUUUCUAAACAUUUAUAUGAAUAAAAUCAUAUAUUUAGAUAUAUAUUUUUUUCACUUGGCAAUAUUG
ensembl:lncRNA